rnacentral:lncRNA from 1 species
AAAGCUAAGCUUUAAUACAACUGUCACAUAAACUUAACAUUAACCAAGUCCAAGAUAACUAAACAAAGACCAAUGAACCUUGAAAAUGAGGUCAAGGUCAGAUGAACCAUGCCAGGCAGACAUGUACAGCUAACAAUGCUUCUAUACAACAUAUAUAGUUGACCUAUUACUUAUAGUUUAAGAAAAAUAGACCAAAACACAAAACCUUAACACUGUGCAAUGAACCGUGAAAAAGAGGUCAUGGUCAAAUAAAACCUGCGCGACUGACAUAAAGAUCAUAAAAUAUUUCCAUACACCAAAUAUAGAUGACCUAUGGCAUAUAGUAUAAGAUAAAAAGACCAAAACUCAAAAAUUUAACUUUGACCACUGAACCAUGAAAAUGAGGUCAAGGUCACAUGACAUCUGCCCGCUAGAUAGGUACACCUUACAAUCAUUCCAUACAACAAAUAUAGUAGACCUAAUGCAUAUAGUAUGAGAAAAAAGACCAAAACACAAAAAUUUAACUAUAACCACUGAACCAUGAAAAUGAGGUCAAGGUCAGAUGACACCUGCCAGUUGGACAAGUACACCUUACAGUCCUUCCAUACACCGAAUAUACUAGCCCUAUUGCUUGUAGUAUCUGAGAUAUGGACUUGACCACCAAAACUUAACCUUGUUCACUGAUCCAUGAAAUGAGGUCGAGGUCAAGUGAAAACUGUCUGACA